rnacentral:lncRNA from 1 species
CUGCUUGCCAGCGGGCGUCUCCGCUUAGCGCUCUCUCCAGAAACCGCUGGGCAGUCUCCUGGGCACAGAGCUCAACACUUUAUUUGCUCCCUGUCAUUCAAUGCUAAUAAUACCAAUAUUCAGUGAAAAAUACUGGAGCUUAAAGGUCAGAUCACUUGUCCAGAGUCACAGAACAGAAGCCCAAGUAAUCUGGUAUAACAGCCAGGCUUUUUUUCUACUACAACAUUCUUCAUCCUGUAUGACAUUUUGAAAUCUGGAAUUAGAAGAGUGGAGUUCAUGUGUCGCCUGAAAUGAUCCUCAUGCCAUAAAGGUGACUGAAGCUCAAAAAUAAAGGACCUAAGUGGUUUAAAAAAUGUCAUAUGGCAUGUCAGAGCAUCUGUCCUGGUCAGCUGGUAGUGGUUGCCUGGAGGAUUGUGUUGGGAUAGGACUAUGAAGUCCAAUCUGAGUCUCAUGGGAUGAAAGUCAUGUUGUGAUUGAUUGAAGAUGUCUGCUUAGUAUGCUACAAUGGAACCAUACCAAGGGAGUAUUUAAUGUUUGCAAAUUCACAUUUUUGUGCUCUGCUAAGGAACAGAUUGGUGGAUAGGAAGGAUCUGAGAAACAGAAAUCAAGAUUGUGUGAAUGGCAGCUUGGAAAUGAAAAAGAGAACAAAUGAAUGAGCAAUUAAAAUAUUGCAGACUCUUCCGAUUGCCAUUUCAUGCAAUGAAUACAUGCCUCUAAGUGAGUGUGAGAACCUUGAUAGAAUUUCCUGUUCUCUCAGUCAGGAGCAUAUCUCCAUACAGAGUAUGAUUCUAGGCUUUAAAGCUACUUUUCUUUUCUUUCUUUCUUUCUUUUUUUCCAAUGCAACAUGUCCCAGAAGCAAGCUACCUACAUUAGUUUGCAGUGUUCAAUUAGGGUGGGGGAAACACAGUAUGUUUCAAUAGGGGAGGCAAAUUUGGCAAUAUUGAAUGUUUUAAAACAUGUUUAUUAGGUUUUCAUAUGCAGUUUUCCUCAAGGCAAUUUUGACUUGAUGCACUUUCAUCUAUAUUAUGUACUUACAAACCACCCCCUUGAAAGGUGUAUCUCUACGGUACAUCAUAAAUGUGAUAUCCUCUAACAAGCCCAAGGUAACAUCAGGCAUUAAAUACUCAACGUUAACUUUAAUUAGUACCCUCACCUGCAAGAGUGCAAGUGAUUGAAGAUUGCAGCAAAUGCUUAUCCCAUUCCUUUAAGUCCCCAGAAUGACUGUCUAGACCAAUGUCCUUACUCAUUCCUUAUUCUUCUGAGGCUUUGCUAACUGGAGUACAGGAGCAGUCAGCAGGCCCAGAGGUAUGUUUUACCUUUCUGAUAACUUUAUUGGAUGAUCAAACCACUGGUUUACCUUGGCCAUUUGAAUGUCUGUACUAAGUGCUCACUCUGCUAGCCACCCUACAGAAAGAAAGGGAUCAGGCCAAUAGGAGUUCAAACAAUGACCCAUAACUCUAGCAUUAUAAGCUCAGGCCCUAAACUAGGGUCAUUCUCAGUCUAGGUCUAGUUGUCAGCUCAUAACUAUACUAGUCACAACUUAUGCGUUCAUGUGUUAUACCUGCCUGUUUUUGCUUCUAAGGGGAUUUUGUUAUCAAACAAAGAUGGAACAUGGACACAGGCAGAUAAGAAUUCUAAAUAUAAUCCCUUUCUUGCCUUCAGAAAUUUCUGUAAAGCCUUUGAAGAAUGCAAAAGUGGCUUAUUUUGAGUAAAAACUGGAAUAUUAAUCAGGAAUUAGAUACCUGGCUUGUAUUUCAGAUUCUGCCUUGGAUUGCUGGUCAUAUUCAACACCUUCUUUAUCUGCGGCAUAAAGAGACUACUGUGUCUGUCUUUUUUGGCACAAAAGUGAUGAAGAUAAAUGAUAUAUUGUGCUUCAGUAUAAUUCCUUUGUUAAUUAUAAUAUUA